UACGAAGGGGGCUAGCGUUGCUCGGAUUGACUGGGCGUAAAGGGCGCGUAGGCGGUUCGUACAGUCAGACGUGAAAUUCCUGGGCUCAACCUGGGGGCUGCGUUUGAUACGUGCGGGCUUGAGUGCGGAAGAGGGUCGUGGAAUUCCCAGUGUAGAGGUGAAAUUCGUAGAUAUUGGGAAGAACACCGGUGGCGAAGGCGGCGACCUGGUCCGAUACUGACGCUGAUGCGCGAAAGCGUGGGGAGCAAACGGG
rnacentral:rRNA from 1 species